rnacentral:snoRNA from 2 species
CAGCAUGUUUCCAAGGGCUAUGGCCGGUUGUGGCCAUGGGUUCUCCAACUGCAUGCGAGAGCAACCUGGAGAGACUUUGACAGCACAGGUCAGCAUCAUACCUGCAGCUGCCACUCGACUUUCCUAUAACA